GGAGUUACAUCCGAUAUAAUUGAAGCUCGUGGGGUUACUUCCAUUGUGUUCUUGUUGUUAUCAAUACCUUCUCUUCUUUUCUAUCGCGUAUAUGGAAGUGUAUCUAUGUUUACCAACAUUGCUUUGAUGCUCAUUUCUGGUGCACUUGUCAAUGGUCCUUACUCCCUUAUCACCACAGCAGUUUCAGCAGAUCUUGGUACUCAGAGCCUGAUAAAGGG
rnacentral:misc_RNA from 1 species